UACGGGGGGGGCAAGCGUUGUUCGGAAUUACUGGGCGUAAAGGGCUCGUAGGUGGCCAACUAAGUCAGACGUGAAAUCCCUCGGCUUAACCGGGGAACUGCGUCUGAUACUGGAUGGCUUGAGUUUGGGAGAGGGAUGCGGAAUUCCAGGUGUAGCGGUGAAAUGCGUAGAUAUCAGGAGGAACACCGGUGGCGAAGGCGGAUCUCUGGACCAGUUCUGACACUGAUGAGCGAAAGCCAGGGGAGCAAACAGG
rnacentral:rRNA from 1 species